rnacentral:rRNA from 1 species
ACGGAAAAGGGAAAAGGGCUUAGUGGCGGACGGGUGAGUAACGCGUGGGUAACCUGGCCCAUACAGGGGGAUAACACUUAGAAAUAGGUGCUAAUACCGCAUAACAACAGAAAGCGCAUGCUUUUUGUUUGAAAACCAAGGUGGUAUGGGAUGGACCCGCGUCCGAUUAGCUGGUUGGCGGGGUAGAGGCCCACCAAGGCGACGAUCAGUAGCCGGCCUGAGAGGGUGAACGGCCACAUUGGGACUGAGACACGGCCCAAACUCCUACGGAAGGCAGCAG